rnacentral:rRNA from 1 species
GGGUGCGAUCAUACCAGCACUAAUGCACCGGAUCCCAACAGAACUCCGCAGUUUAGCGUGCUUAGGCAAGAGUCAUACUAAGAUGGGAUUUGCUAUAGGAUUUCCUCAUGCACAGG